UACGAGGGGUGCAAGCGUUGCUCGGAAUUAUUGGGCGUAAAGGGUAGGUAGGUGGUCUCAUUUGUCUAGGGUGAAAGCCUUGAGCUUAACUCAAGAAGUGCCCUAGAAACGGUGAGACUGGAGUCCUGGAGAGGGUCGUGGAAUUCCCGGUGUAGCGGUGAAAUGCGUAGAGAUCGGGAGGAACACCAGCGGCGAAAGCGGCGACCUGGACAGGUACUGACACUCAACUACGAAAGCGUGGGGAGCAAACAGG
rnacentral:rRNA from 1 species